rnacentral:tRNA from 1 species
GCCUCAAUAGCUUAGUGGUAGAGCACUUGAUACAAAUGCCUCUUGCCGGACCUCGAAUAUUAUCAACAGGCCAGGGUUCGAAUCCCUGUUGAGGGC